GGCCCGGCUCUGAAGCCGGGAUUGGGACAAGCUGUGGGCUAUGGGGCUGGCGUCAGAUCCGGCUGGGGGGCUGGCGCCCGAGGCGGCCGCUGCGCACCCUCACUGAUCCCCCGUUCUGCUCGUUCGUGUUCUCGUUAACCCAACGAGCUCCUGCGCCGCUCGGCCGCUUCGCUGGGCGCCCCGAGCUGCUCUCGCCUCACCCGGCGGCCGGCUCGGACGCCGCGUUUCCGACGAGGCCGAACUCCGCUUUCCGCUUGUCCUCCUUCGAAAAAGGAGCUCUGCGUGCCUCGUGCUUUAGCAGAACAUGGUGACCUGAUGCCUGCAGAGAACGGACGACACCUGGAGGCCAAGACCGAUUUCACCGAAGGCGCUGAGGACGGACCCGGGAGCCGAGAAGAAGCGAACAGAAAAACACCUGCCGUGGGAUCUGCGCUUCGGCUUUCAGCAACUCGGAAGCGAUGAACGAGCCUCUUCUACGUUACCGUGUCAGCGUGCCAGGAGGUCAGCGAAGAGGAGGAGGCAGGUCGGAGCUGGCGGAGCCCCGAGGCGGGGGGAGCGUCGUGCAUCCCCGCGCGGCCGAGGGCGGCCCGGCGCCCCGCUUGGCGGCCUUCCCGCGGCCGCGGCGCCUCCCCGGGCUCUUGAGAUCUCUGCAGGCAAAUCGACCGUUUCCCCCUUUUUUUUUCCUUUCUGCCUCCCCUUUUUGGGAUCCGGACCGGCUGAGGUGACGGGAAGAUGAGGGGUCUUUCCGCAGGGCUUGGAGCAGAAAGCCGUUAGGGCUGGGAUACGGGCAGAAAAAGAGACACCUAUCACACGGGAUAUUUCCUGUUGGAAAUAUCUCCCCCCAAAAAUUAUAAAAGAAAGGGGACAGAAAAAAAAAAAAAAAAAAAACAAGCAGCAAACCAGAUUCAAACCAGGUUCAACUCGAACCGGGGAAACGCGACGUGCUGAGCGCGGCCGCUGCCUGCUGCCCGCGCUGCGGGAGCCGGGCGGUAACGUGCGCGAGCGCGGCCAGUCCCGCCGCCCGGCGAAGCGCUUUCAGGGAAACACUCGGAAAAGUGCUUUUCUCCCCGCAAUUUAGUUGCAAGAAGGGAAUCUCGGAGCGGAGCUUUGGAAACGCCGGUAGAGAUAAUACAGCGACGCUGUAUUUCGGCUUUGCCCGAAACCUUUUCCUUUCUCUGCCCG